rnacentral:rRNA from 1 species
UACGGAGGGAGCUAGCGUUGUUCGGAAUUACUGGGCGUAAAGCGCGCGUAGGCGGCUUGUCGCGUCGUUCGUGAAAACCUGUGGCUCAACUACAGGCUUGCGGUCGAUACGGGCAGGCUGGAGUUCGGUAGGGGAGACUGGAAUUCCUGGUGUAGCGGUGAAAUGCGCAGAUAUCUGGAGGAACACCGGUGGCGAAGGCGGCGUCCUGGACCAACACUGACACUGAGGAGCGAAAGCCAGGGGAGCAAACGGG